rnacentral:misc_RNA from 1 species
GUAUAAAGUUUAUAUAGGCACUGAGGCCCAAAUUAUACAUUCUGUUACAUACUAGGUGUAUAUGAAAAACGUAGGCUUGGAAGUGCAAAGAAAGCCGACGCAAAGAGCGCAGCAUUCCUCCCGACCGAGCUGCCUCGGAAAGUCUAUCCAGGUCUACAAGAGGUGCACAGGUGGAGAUGAGGAUGGCGGGUGUGCACAUGCCCCCGAGAGGGCCAGCAACAACCACACCAAGUUCAUUCAAUAAUGAUCCUUCCGCAGGUUCACCUACGGAAA